UGCACUCACUACCCGUAAGUCGCUCUGGAUAAGAGCGUCUGCUAAAUGACUAAAA
rfam:Salmo salar isolate Sally breed double haploid chromosome ssa06, whole genome shotgun sequence.